GGUCCUGCCAGCUCUCUGGACAGUCCUGUGUGACCUGGUCCCUGCAAGGUCUCUGUGAUUCCUUCAGAGAGAGAAUCUGGGGCUCAGGCUGCCCCAGGAGCCCAGGGAGGGUCAUAUGUGUAGGGGUUUGUGGGCUCAGGGCUGUGCUCAGCACUGGCUAAGAUCCUAGUCUUUCUUGGAGUGUCCCAUCCUGCCGACAUCUUCUUACCCUCUAGGCUGUGGCACCCUGCACACCAGGCAGCUGCUCACAGCAAGAUUCCCAUGCCCAGUGGGGCCCCAGUAGUUCUCUGGCCAGGGAAGGCCUGCUGCCCCUCCCCCUCGUUAUAUAAUGGGAUUAUGACACAACUUCUGAGGUGCAGACCUGCUGAGGGCCCCAGCCGGCCACAUUCCUGAAAGAGUAAACUCUUCCUAAUAAUGCUGCAUGCUGAAUUCUCCCAGGGUAGGGUGCCCUGAGGUGGGCUGUGGGUGUUUGUCUGAAGUCUGCAGGGCUGUGCCCUCCCCGGGACCUCAGACAGGGCCUUGCCAUGUUGUCCAGGCUUGGUUGAAUUUUUGAUCUUCCUGUCUCAGCCUCCCAAGUAGCAGGGAUUACAGCAGGAGGGUACUGUCCUGGCCCGCUCAGUGCUCAGUGCCUAACCGGAAUGGCAGGCUUCGCCGACGCCUAGGAAACGUCCGUCUGCAGAACCAGUGUAAAGCGGGGGCCACAACCUUUGUCUUUUGCCUUCCUGGGGAUGAAAUCCAGGGCCUUGUGCUCCAUUACAACUGUACCCCACCCCAACAUGAUUAAGCUUUUGCUUUAUUUGAUACAAUCUCAGUAUCUACUGGAUACUCAUUAUAGGUAAUUUGUAAAACUCGGGUAAUUCCAGCACUUGGGAGGCCAAGGCAGGAGGACUAAUUAGUGUUUGAGGCAGUCUGAAUUACAUUAGCAAGAUUUUGUCCAAAAAAGGAAAAAGGGAUAAAAACAUUAUACUGUU